UCCUCUUCCUUUGCGCCGCCGUCGCCGUGGCCAAGCCGUCGACCUCCUCCUGAACCGCCAUCGACCACCGCCCCUCGCCGCCUAUAAAUAGCCGGCGAAACCCCUUCUUUUUCCUCACAAUCCGAGCCCCUCGAGCUCUGUCUUUAUCUCUCUUCCUCAAGACCAGCUGCCGCCACCAUCGGCCGAUCUCCCUCACCGGAGCACCACUAACCAAAUCCUCUCACCACCAGCCUUGCCUCACUCCGGCGAACCCAUUUUUCCAAUUUUCCCCUUCUUUUUCGUCCCAUGUCAAGCCCCACCGGAGCUCUCUCUCUCUCUCUCUCUCUUGCCGGUUCACACUUCACAGUCUUGCUCUCGCCGUUCCGACCAUUCCCUUAACUCCCUCUGCCGGCCACUGCCCACCCUAGGUGCUCCGCUCCCUGAAACACCACCGGCCGCCGGCGUCGCCGCCUCCCAGCCACCAGAGCCCUGGCGCCCCUUCUUCCCCCUCCUCUCAGUUGCUCGGCUGGAAGAAGAAAGAAGAAAGAAGAAGACGAGAGAAAGAAGGCGAGCAAGCUAGGAAUCGGACGUCCGUUAUUUCUCCAAAUAUCGGACGCCGCUCACACUCUGCCUAUCUAUUUGCAUGGCAUACUGCAUGUGUGCAUGCCUGCAGCGAGAAGUAGCGGUGCAGCGAGUGGUAGGGGUGACAGAGAUCUAUCCGACUUGCAUGCAUGCUGGCUGCAUGCACCUACCACUCUGUUGGGGUGUCCGAUUUUUUUUCCUUGCCCGGACAUAUGAUGAUAAGCAUUUCCGGAAAGAAGGAGAGAAAAAGAAAAGGGAAAGAAAGUUACUGACAGGUGCGAAAGAAAAUCAGAAGCCUAUGAAGCCAUUAGGUAUUAAACUUAAGAAAAAGGAAAUUCGUGGAUCAGCAAGACCUAUUGGCGGCUUAGACAGAGCUUCAUCACGGAGGAAAAGAAAGAAGAUCAAUGAUGUCUCAGCCCAAUCACCGCAUCCUCAACCUGUAGAGAUGCGAGCGCAACCACAACUCAACCUGUAGAGAUGCGAGCGCAACCACAACCACAACCAGUACAUACAAUACAGUAAUGGAUCAUCUAGAGGUUCCCAAUAACCACGCUUUUUUACACGUAUCAGAGUAUAGCGCUGUUCUGGAUGCAUCCACACAUACUUCAUUUCAUACUCCUCUGUUACUGACUCAAGAAAGUCAAGGAUUGCAUCAAGGGAGGCCGAUUCAGCAAUAUGACACUGAUUUUCCCUAUAUGUUCAAUUGAUUUAUUUAAUAUAUUAAGUAUAGAAACAAUUUACACUUGCAAGUUACUAAACUAUACAUUCUAGGGAUCUGACAUUGCAAAUAUUAUCUUCACUUCUUCAAGCUAUAAAA